rnacentral:rRNA from 1 species
GUAGUCCACGCUGUAAACGUUGGGCGCUAGGUGUGGGGGUCUUCCACGACUUCCGUGCCGGAGCUAACGCAUUAAGCGCCCCGCCUGGGGAGUACGGCCGCAAGGCUAAAACUCAAAGAAAUUGACGGGGGCCCGCACAAGCGGCGGAGCAUGUUGCUUAAUUCGACGCAACGCGAAGAACCUUACCAAGGUUUGACAUCACCCGGAAACGGCCAGAGAUGGUCGCCUCUUCGGACUGGGUGACAGGUGGUGCAUGGCUGUCGUCAGCUCGUGUCGUGAGAUGUUGGGUUAAGUCCCGCAACGAGCGCAACCCUUGCUCCAUGUUGCCAGCACGCCCUUCGGGGUGGUGGGGACUCAUGGGGGACUGCCGGGGUCAACUCGGA